rnacentral:rRNA from 1 species
GCUGGCAGCUAGUUGCUUUAGUCUGUAGCUUUCACAUAGUCGCCCACUGAAGCCAAGCAGGGCUGCUCCCGGUCAAUACCUGGAUAAGAGACCACAUGGGAAAGCUAGGUUACUGCCGGAA